rnacentral:rRNA from 1 species
UACGGAGGAUCCGAGCGUUAUCCGGAUUUAUUGGGUUUAAAGGGUGCGUAGGCGGGCUGAUAAGUCAGUGGUGAAAGUUUGCAGCUUAACUGUAAAAUUGCCAUUGAAACUGUUAGUCUUGAGUACAGUAGAGGUAGGCGGAAUGUGUAGUGUAGCGGUGAAAUGCAUAGAUAUUACACAGAACACCAAUUGCGUAGGCAGCUUACUGGAGUGUCACUGACGCUGAGGCACGAUAGCGUGGGGAUCAAACAGG